AAUACCCCCCCCGGAUUUGUUCAGCGCCGAAUAAAUCUGACUUAACCAUCCGGCAGCUGACUCCGGCGCUUUAAUUACAGAUAGUAUUGAUCUGGAGCUAUCUCCAGGGCUGGCCACACUCCUCGUAGCGGCCAAAGAACAGAGCGCUGCCUGGCCGGACACACAUCUCUACUGCAUUUUCAUAUUCUCCAAAAGUCCCCCAUCAAAAAGCUGAGCGGGGAACAAGGGUACAGUGCCACAUACUGUAUGGCAAAGACGAUCCCCAUCUGGAACCCUCUCCUUACGACGCCGUUGGAAGGGCGCAAAACAAAAGCCCAACACCACCGCAACACCGUCAGCACCAGCACCCCACGGCCGGGCGCUGCGCCGGAGGGCUGAACCCCGCACGGAGCCGCGGGGCCGCGCCGUCGGGGUGCGGAGCUCCGAGGGGCCGCGUCCCCGUUCGCUCCGAUCCCCGCGGCCGGGCCGGGAGCACCGCGCCGGGGAGCGGGACGGGCUCCGGUGCGGCUCUGGACGGCAGCCAGCAAAGGGGGAAGGAGGGAGGGAGGGGGAUUCCUCGCCAUUAAUAAUUUCUCUGCCUUUAUUUUGAAGCUUCGUGACCUCCCGAUCUGGUCCGUCGUUUCGCCGCUGCGACGGACGCAGGGUUGGGAACGAGUGAACCCCCCCACCGCCCCCUGACACGCUGCCUUUCUGCCCUCGUAUCCAGACUUGGGGAUGUUUUAUUUGUUUUUGUUUUUGUUUUUUUUUCUCCCCUCCGCUAUUUGUUUCCUGGGCUUUACCCCUAGCACGCGAAUAUUCGUGCGGGUCAGUCCAACAGCAAAGAAGCAAAGCAAAGCAAACCAAACCAGGACAGGGCUUCUAACACUGGGGCAAGAAAACACGUCGACCCCCCCUCUCCCUUUCGGAGCCGCUCGGCAGGGCCCGAACUCAGCACAGGGAACCCGCACGGGUCUGGGCCGGGGGCCGUUCCCGAGGUGCCCCCCGGUCCUUUCGCUCCAUCCCGGCCGCAGCCUCCUCCCCCCU